AAAUCGGCUCAGGGUGAGUCGGAUCCUAAGGUGAGGCCGAAAGGCGUAAUCGAUGGACAUCAGGUUAAUAUUCCUGAACCGACAAUUACUGCGAUGGGGUGACGGAGAAGGCUAAAGCAGCGGCAGUAGUGCCGUCCAAGCUCGUAGGCGGAUCUUCCUGGCAAAUCCGGAAGGUCAUUCAACGCCGAGAAGUGAGUGCGAGUCGAACCGCAAGGUAAGACGAAGUGUUUGAUGCCCCGCUUCCAGGAAAAGCCUCUAAGCUUCAGGUAAUUGUUGUCCGUACCGUAAACCGACACUGGUGGGUGAGCAGAAAAUCUGCUAAGGCGCUUGAGAGAACUCUGGUUAAGGAACUCUGCAAAUUGAUACCGUAACUUCGGAAGAAGGUAUGCCUUUUUUGGUCACUGGACUUGCUCCAGGAAGCUGAAGAAGGCCGCAGGUAAUCGGGGGCUGCGACUGUUUACCAAAAACACAGGACUCUGCGAACACGUAAGUGGAUGUAUAGGGUCUGACGCCUGCCCGGUGCUGGAAGGUUAAUUGAUGGGGUCAGCCGCAAGGCGAAGCUCUUGAUCGAAGCCCCAGUAAGCGGCGGCCGUAACUAUAACGGUCCUAAGGUAGCGAAAUUCCUUGUCGGGUAAGUUCCGACCUGCACGAAUGGCGUAACGCUGGCCCCACUGUCUCGACCAGAGACUCAGUGAAGUUGAAAUCGCUGUGAAGAUGCGGCGUAGCUGCGGAAAGACGGAAAGACCCCGUGAACCUUUACUACAGCUUUACACUGAACUUUGAAUUUAUUUGUGUAGGAUAGGUGGGAGCCUUUGAAGCAGGGGCGCUAGCUCUUGUGGAGGCAACCUUGAAAUACCACCCUGAUAACUUCGGAGUUCUAACCUAGAUCCGUAAUCCGGAUUGGGAACACUGUAUGGUGGGUAGUUUGACUGGGGCGGUCUCCUCCCAAAGAGUAACGGAGGAGUGCAAAGGUACCCUCAGCGCGGUCGGUCAUCGCGCUUUUGAGUGCAAUGGCAUAAGGGUGCUUGACUGCGAGACGUACAUGUCGAGCAGGAACGAAAGUUGGUCAUAGUGAUCCGGUGGUUCUGUAUGGAAGGGCCAUCGCUCAACGGAUAAAAGGUACUCCGGGGAUAACAGGCUUAUUCCUCCCAAGAGUCCACAUCGACGGAGGAGUUUGGCACCUCGAUGUCGGCUCAUCACAUCCUGGGGCUGUAGCAGGUCCCAAGGGUUCGGCUGUUCGCCGAUUAAAGUGGUACGCGAGCUGGGUUCAAAACGUCGUGAGACAGUUUGGUCCCUAUCUUCCGUAGCCGUUGGAGAUUUGAGGGUGAGUUGCUCCUAGUACGAGAGGACCGGAGUGAAUGUAUCUCUGGUGUUCCGGUUGUCACGCCAGUGGCACUGCCGGGUAGCUAUAUACAGACGGGAUAACCGCUGAAAGCAUCUAAGCGGGAAGCCCCCCCCAAGACGAGAUCUCCCUGAGGACUUGAUCCUCCUAAAGGGCCCAAGAAGACUACUUGGUUGAUAGGCUGGGUGUGUACGCGUAGCAAUACGCUUAGCUAACCAGUACUAAUUGCCCGUGAGGCUUGAUC
rnacentral:rRNA from 1 species